UAGAACUAAGGAGGCAGAGGCAA
rnacentral:piRNA from 1 species